rnacentral:rRNA from 1 species
UACGAGGGGGGCGAGCGUUGUUCGGAAUUAUUGGGCGUAAAGGGCGCGUAGGCGGUUGGGUAAGUCUUGUGUGAAAUCUUCAGGCUCAACUCGAAGUCUGCACGAGAAACUAUCUGGCUUGAGUGUGGGAGAGGUGAGUGGAAUUCCUGGUGUAGCGGUGAAAUGCGUAGAUAUCAGGAGGAACACCUGUGGCGAAAGCGGCUCACUGGACCACAACUGACGCUGAGGCGCGAAAGCUAGGGGAGCAAACAGG